GCGCGCAGACCAGAUCACACGAUGGCAGGUGAAGGGAUGCGGCGGCCGGAGCGCGAGCCGGCCUAGGUUCGGGGAGGGUCCGCGGUCCCCGCGACCCCGGCCGGGGCCGGUCCCGUCACGCUGCAUCCCAGUGCCGAACACAGACUGACAUCGCUGCGGGUCAGCGCGGUCGUGGAAGGCGCAGUGGAGGAGGCGGUGGGCGAGCAGUGACACGGCCAACUGAGGAAAGGAAGAGACCAUUUCCUAACCUGAGCCGAAGUGCAAAAACAGACUUGGUCGAGACCCUCCGGCUGCUCGGUGUAAACGCGAUGUCGUAUUCUCAUGCACAUGCAAGGGAAGCCGGGGGAGAGGAUCUUAAACCAGCCCGGACGCAAGGAGGCUUCACGGCUCACGCGUCUGAACUCUGGGGGACUGGCGAUGGGACCAGCCCGAUUCUCUAACAUCCCUGAGUCGUGGCUGAAGAAGGUGGCUUGAUUUUUGUUGACUCGUAAUUUUACAGAGCCGAUACCAGGCUCAUCCAGUUAGGAGGACCCAGGUGGCAGGGCCAUGGCUGAAGGUGGCGUAUGCAGCUCCCUGAAGCAUGAACCAGGAAGGGGGUGCAACCUACAUGGGGCAGACGUAUUUUGUAAAUUCCUCUGAAGUCCAGAUCGAAGUGUUUGGUACCACAGCACAGAGGCCUCAGAUUCAGUGCGUAUGACCUGGAAGAUAGCAUCUCACCCUUGUCUCCAUACUGGCUCGGCUGUGCCAAGGCAGGCCUUCUGGUGGUCUCCUGUGCCUGCUCUGGGACGGGCUUGGUGAUGUGGGCCUCCUGAACGUCGCAUCAGUGGGCGGACGCCUCGCUGCGGCACCCCACCUGACCUGGUAGAACUGUGGGUGUUGUUAUUUGCUGAUAGGCUAGGUCCAUGGCAUCACUGUUCUGAGGGACUACUUGAGCGGCUGUGCACCCUUACAAGGAGCAGGUGGACCUUAAGGAGCAAUGCUGAUACUCAGCCUACAAGCAAACGUUUCAGAUCAAUGAUGUCCGAGCAGGCUCCGUGAAUAAGGCCUCCCUGUUAACUGAAAACCGAAGUAGCAGUUGAACACCAAUCUGUCUGGUUUCCCACGGAGUCUCUGGCAUCUGGCACAAUGCCUGGCACAUGGCUUCUAUUCUGUAAGUGAUAGCUGUGAUCAUUAGCCUUCAUUAUUCUCCUAUUAUUCUUCUAUCUGCUUCCUUCUUCCCCCUCCCCCCUGCCAAUGUCCUGGAGACCAAAAAAAGAACAUCACCCCCAAAGAGUCUCAGUCCGGCUGCUACGCUGGGGGUCCUACAGAAAAGAAACACCUGGCAGAGAGAGGGAGAAGAGAAUUUACUUCCUCCCCCUCAAGGGAUUCACUUUGAAUGUCCUUCAAAUCGUUCACGGAGAAGGUCAGAGGAUGGGGGAGCGAGGGAAGAUGUAUGGGACCUUCAGAACCAAUGUACUGACCACCGGCUGUAAGAACUAGGUCAUUGGAACAAAAAGCCCUGAGAGAAAAGUCCAAAAAUAGAAGAGGGGAGAUGAACUCAUGGCCUGCCUUGGAUUCAUGUAAGUACUGCUUGGAGCCCGGCAGAGGGGAAGAGCGGCAUGAUGGGAAGCUGCUGCUGCACCUGAUGGGGGACUCCCAGGCGGUGCCCCAUUGUGACGCUUCUGGACAGCAGUGCACAGACAGAAGGCCAUGUCAGGAUUCCCCGCUGCGGUCAGCAGGCCCUCUGUGCGCUCAGCCUGGGGCUGGAAGGAGGCCCCGGCAGGAAGCCCGAGCGGCUCCGUCCUCACUGUUCAGGACUCGCAGAGCACUGCACUGUGGCAGGGCUUGCAGGGAGCGGGGCUCAGCGCCCAGGCCAGAUCCUGGCCCUGCGCUGUGCAUGGGUGAGGGGGUCUGGUCACGCAGUCUCAAGUUAGAUGCUAAGUGAUGGUCAUAUUUUGGGAACUCUUAGCAAGUCUAGAAAAGGCAUUGAGGCUUGAAACAACAUGGGUGGGGCACCUGAGCAGCUCAGUUAAGCGUCUGACUUUGGCUCAGGUCAUGAUCUCACAGUUUGUGGGUUUGAGCCCCA